GCCAACUCUAGCCCAAACCCCAUACAACUGUACUACCUACAAUACUACAACCAAACCAUUUACCUACUACAAAAGUAUAGGCGAUAGAAAUUUUACUUUAGGAGCAAUAGAUAUAGUACCGCAAGGGAAAGACAAAAACUUAAUAAAGCACAAAAAAGCAAAGACAAACCCUUCUACCUUCUGCAUAAUGAAUUAACUAGAAAUAACUUUAUACAGAGAACUUUAAUAAUGCCCCCCGAAACCAAGCGAGCUACCCAAAGACAGCUAAAAGAGCACACCCGUCUAUGUGGCAAAAUAGUGGGAAGAUCUGUGGGUAGUGGUGACAAACCUAUCGAGCCUGGUGAUAGCUGGUUGUCCAAGACAGAAUUUCAGUUCAACCUUAAAUUUACUUAUAGACCCACCUAAUCUUCUCGUAAAUUUAAUCGUUAGUCUAAAGAGGGACAGCUCUUUAGACUUUAGGAAAUAACCUUUUAUAGAGAGUGAGAUAUUCCACUACUACAGUUGGCCUAAAAGCAGCCAUCAAUUAAGAAUGCGUUCAAGCUCAAUAUCUAAUUACUCUUAAUACUACUAAUAACACCAAACUCCUAAAACACAUUGGACUAAUCUAUUAUAUAAUAGAAGCAAUAAUGUUAGUAUAAGUAACAUGAAAUUAUUCUCCUCGCAUAAACUUAUCCCAGACCGAAACAACUACUGCUAGUUAACAGUUCAAUCAUCAUAUACUAUAUAUUAACAUAACAUUACUCAAACUGUUAACCCAACACAGGUAUGCACCCAGGAAAGAUUAAAAGAAGUAAGAGGAACUCGGCAAACUCUACCCCCGCCUGUUUACCAAAAACAUCACCUCUAGCAUUACUAGUAUUAGAGGCACUGCCUGCCCGGUGACACAUGUUUAACGGCCGCGGUACCCUGACCGUGCAAAGGUAGCAUAAUCACUUGUUCUCUAAAUAAGGACUUGUAUGAAUGGCCACACGAGGGUUUAACUGUCUUUUACUUCUAAUCAGUGAAAUUGACCUAUCCGUGAAGAGGCGGAUAUAACUAAAUAAGACGAGAAGACCCUAUGGAGCUUAAAUUUAACAGUACAAACUAAUAAUUCAAAACCCCCAAUAGGCAGCAAUCUACCGUCCAUGUACUAUAAAUUUUGGUUGGGGUGACCUCGGAGUAUAAUAUAACCUCCGAAAAAAAUACACACCAAGACCUCACCAGUCUAAGUGAAUCCACACCCAUUGACCCAAUAACUUGAUCAACGGACUAAGUUACCCUAGGGAUAACAGCGCAAUCCUAUUUUAGAGUCCAUAUCGACAAUAGGGUUUACGACCUCGAUGUUGGAUCAAGACAUCCUAAUGGUGCAGCCGCUAUUAAGGGUUCGUUUGUUCAACGAUUAAAGUCUUACGUGAUCUGAGUUCAGACCGGAGAAAUCCAGGUCGGUUUCUAUCUAUUAAAUAUUCCUCCCAGUACGAAAGGACAAGAGAAAUGGGGCCUACUUCACAAAGCGCCCUCACAAAUCGGAUGAUUAUUUAUCUCAAUCCCAUAGACUAUUAUCCAACCCAAGAGCAGGGUUC
rnacentral:rRNA from 1 species